UGAAAUGUGUACUGGCUGG
rnacentral:misc_RNA from 1 species